rnacentral:rRNA from 1 species
GUAGGUCACAAGCGUUGUCCGGAAUNACUGGGUGUAAAGGGAGCGCAGGCGGGAAGNCAAGUUGGAAGUGAAAACUAUGGGCUCAACCCAUAAAUNGCUUUCAAAACUGCUGGCCUUGAGUAGUGCAGAGGUAGGUGGAAUUCCCGGUGUAGCGGUGGAAUGCGUAGAUAUCGGGAGGAACACCAGUGGCGAAGGCGGCCUACUGGGCACCAACUGACGCUGAGGCUCGAAAGUGUGGGUAGCAAACAGGAUUAGAUACCCUGGUAGUCCACACCGUAAACGAUGAUUACUAGGUGUUGGAGGAUUGACCCCUUCAGUGCCGCAGUUAACACAAUAAGUAAUCCACCUGGGGAGU